UUAAGCGACUAAGCGUACACGGUGGAUGCCCUGGCAGUCAGAGGCGAUGAAGGACGUGCUAAUCUGCGAAAAGCGCCGGCGAGGUGAUAUGAACCCUUGACCCGGCGAUGUCCGAAUGGGGAAACCCAGUGCAAUCCGUUGCACUAUCGUUAACUGAAUACAUAGGUUAACGAGGCGAACCGGGGGAACUGAAACAUCUAAGUACCCCGAGGAAAAGAAAUCAACCGAGAUUCCCCCAGUAGCGGCGAGCGAACGGGGAGCAGCCCGGAGUCUGAAUCAGUUUGUGUGUUAGUGGAACGGUCUGGAAAGUCCGACGGUACAGGGUGAUAGUCCCGUACACGAAAGCACACUUGCUGUGAACUCGAAGAGUAGGGCGGGACACGUGGUAUCCUGUCUGAAUAUGGGGGGACCAUCCUCCAAGGCUAAAUACUCCUGACUGACCGAUAGUGAACCAGUACCGUGAGGGAAAGGCGAAAAGAACCCCGGCGAGGGGAGUGAAAAAGAACCUGAAACCGUGUACGUACAAGCAGUGGGAGCCUCUUUAUGGGGUGACUGCGUACCUUUUGUAUAAUGGGUCAGCGACUUAUAUUCUGUAGCAAGGUUAACCGUAUAGGGGAGCCGAAGGGAAACCGAGUCUUAACUGGGCGUUAAGUUGCAGGGUAUAGACCCGAAACCCGGUGAUCUAGCCAUGGGCAGGUUGAAGGUUGGGUAACACUAACUGGAGGACCGAACCGACUAAUGUUGAAAAAUUAGCGGAUGACCUGUGGCUGGGGGUGAAAGGCCAAUCAAACCGGGAGAUAGCUGGUUCUCCCCGAAAGCUAUUUAGGUAGCGCCUCGUGAACUCAUCUUCGGGGGUAGAGCACUGUUUCGGCUAGGGGGCCAUCCCGGCUUACCAACCCGAUGCAAACUACGAAUACCGAAGAAUGUUAUCACGGGAGACACACGGCGGGUGCUAACGUCCGUCGUGAAGAGGGAAACAACCCAGACCGCCAGCUAAGGUCCCAAAGUCAUGGUUAAGUGGGAAACGAUGUGGGAAGGCACAGACAGCCAGGAUGUUGGCUUAGAAGCAGCCAUCAUUUAAAGAAAGCGUAAUAGCUCACUGGUCGAGUCGGCCUGCGCGGAAGAUGUAACGGGGCUAAACCAUGCACCGAAGCUGCGGCAGCGACACUAUGUGUUGUUGGGUAGGGGAGCGUUCUGUAAGCCGUUGAAGGUGUGCUGUGAGGCAUGCUGGAGGUAUCAGAAGUGCGAAUGCUGACAUAAGUAACGAUAAAGCGGGUGAAAAGCCCGCUCGCCGGAAGACCAAGGGUUCCUGUCCAACGUUAAUCGGGGCAGGGUGAGUCGACCCCUAAGGCGAGGCCGAAAGGCGUAGUCGAUGGGAAACAGGUUAAUAUUCCUGUACUUGGUGUUACUGCGAAGGGGGGACGGAGAAGGCUAUGUCAGCCGGGCGACGGUUGUCCCGGUUUAAGCAUGUAGGCGGAGGUUCCAGGUAAAUCCGGUACCUUAUUAACGCUGAGGUGUGAUGACGAGGCACUACGGUGCUGAAGUGAUAAAUGCCCUGCUUCCAGGAAAAGCCUCUAAGCAUCAGGUAACACGAAAUCGUACCCCAAACCGACACAGGUGGUCAGGUAGAGAAUACCAAGGCGCUUGAGAGAACUCGGGUGAAGGAACUAGGCAAAAUGGUGCCGUAACUUCGGGAGAAGGCACGCUGAUGUGUAGGUGAAGCCCCUGCGGGCGGAGCUGAAAUCAGUCGAAGAUACCAGCUGGCUGCAACUGUUUAUUAAAAACACAGCACUGUGCAAACACGAAAGUGGACGUAUACGGUGUGACGCCUGCCCGGUGCCGGAAGGUUAAUUGAUGGGGUUAGCUGUAAGGCGAAGCUCUUGAUCGAAGCCCCGGUAAACGGCGGCCGUAACUAUAACGGUCCUAAGGUAGCGAAAUUCCUUGUCGGGUAAGUUCCGACCUGCACGAAUGGCGUAAUGAUGGCCAGGCUGUCUCCACCCGAGACUCAGUGAAAUUGAACUCGCUGUGAAGAUGCAGUGUACCCGCGGCAAGACGGAAAGACCCCGUGAACCUUUACUAUAGCUUGACACUGAACACUGGUCCUUGAUGUGUAGGAUAGGUGGGAGGCUUUGAAGCGUGGACGCCAGUCUGCGUGGAGCCGCCCUUGAAAUACCACCCUUUAAUGGCUGGUGUUCUAACGUAGACCCGUAAUCCGGGUUGCGGACAGUGUCUGGUGGGUAGUUUGACUGGGGCGGUCUCCUCCCAAAGAGUAACGGAGGAGCACGAAGGUUGGCUAAUCCUGGUCGGACAUCAGGAGGUUAGUGCAAUGGCAUAAGCCAGCUUGACUGCGAGCGUGACGGCGCGAGCAGGUGCGAAAGCAGGUCAUAGUGAUCCGGUGGUUCUGAAUGGAAGGGCCAUCGCUCAACGGAUAAAAGGUACUCCGGGGAUAACAGGCUGAUACCGCCCAAGAGUUCAUAUCGACGGCGGUGUUUGGCACCUCGAUGUCGGCUCAUCACAUCCUGGGGCUGAAGUAGGUCCCAAGGGUAUGGCUGUUCGCCAUUUAAAGUGGUACGCGAGCUGGGUUUAGAACGUCGUGAGACAGUUCGGUCCCUAUCUGCCGUGGGCGCUGGAGAAUUGAGGGGGGCUGCUCCUAGUACGAGAGGACCGGAGUGGACGCAUCACUGGUGUUCGGGUUGUCAUGCCAAUGGCACUGCCCGGUAGCUAAAUGCGGAAGAGAUAAGUGCUGAAAGCAUCUAAGCACGAAACUUGCCCCGAGAUGAGUUCUCCCUGAGACUUUAAGUCUCCUGAAGGAACGUUGAAGACGACGACGUUGAUAGGUCGGGUGUGUAAGCGCAGCGAUGCGUUGAGCUAACCGAUACUAAUGAACCGUGAGGCUUAACCUU
rnacentral:rRNA from 2 species